AAAAUUUAGUUAAAAUAAUAACAUUAGUUUGUCAGGCUGAAGUAAAUAUGCAAUAUUAAUUUUUA
rnacentral:tRNA from 1 species